GGUCAAGCGAGGUCAGACAGAAGACCAUGUUCCUCCGACUCUUGAACCCAAGACCGCCGUGUCGAUCCUGAUCUCUGCCGACUUCCUGAAGAUGGCGCCGCUGGUGGAGGAGGUCCUGCAGUACGUCCACGACAACAUCAACCUUAUCCUCGAGGCUCAAGUCAAUCUUAGUUGCCUCUCUGAUGCCAUCCUUACAAGACUAGCCUAUCUGUUCACUCACUGGGAGUUGGAAAGUCUACGUGACCGGC